rnacentral:RNase_P_RNA from 1 species
UUGCAGGUGCGGAUGGCCGCCCCGAAGGUAGGACUUCUAUGAAGAUUCUACAGUCGGGGAGGAAAGUCCGAGCUCCGCAGGGCACCGUAACGGGUAACACCCGCCCCCUUUACAUUUAAUAUAUUAAAUGUAAAGGGCGGAUAAGAGCCACAGAGACGAGUCCUUAGAGGCCUAACAGGCCAAACAAGGAGUGAAACGAGGCAAUCUCUACGGGGAGCAAGGCCAAAUAGGCCCUGACAUAAGUACGGCCCGUACUUAAGAUUCAGGGCGGGUAGGCUGCUACUUCCGGAAUUGACCGGAGAGGACCCUGUCAGCAAUGGCAGGGCUAGAUAGAUGGCCAUCAUAGUAAACACAUUUGUGUUCACUAACAGAACUCGGCUUAUAGCACCUGCUUUUGA